UGUUAAAAUUUCAUCCAUUUAUACUGUUUUAAACAUACAUGGCUGACGACAUAACCAAAUAGUGACACAUGACGUGCCACAUGUAUUUCAUGCUGACGUACAUGAACCAGUUUUUAAUAGUAGAAAUGGAUAGAUUUUUUAACA
rfam:Gossypium hirsutum cultivar TM-1 chromosome 1, whole genome shotgun sequence